UAAGCUGGUGCGCCGAUGCCCCGCACGCACACGGCGGGCUGGGUGGCGCGCGCUUCCCCUCCCCCGCGGCCCCAGAGCGCGAACCGUGACGUCACGGACCUCCCGCCGGCCCGCUCUCCACCGGGCGGGAGCGCGUGCGGCCGCCGAGCACAUGGGCCCUCGGGCCGUGCGCGCUCCAGGCGGCCUGGACCCGGAGGAACAGCAGGGGCCGCGAGCGAGGAUGGGCCCCGGUACCCCUCGGCACCCCCCCGAGUGGAGCUCCACGCGGAAAGGAUGUUGGCGGCCCCGGUGAUACGGCUUGGAUCCACCUUCCAGCCUGAUCUUUUGACCAGAAAGGAAUUAAAAGGACAACCUUCCUGAUUGAUGGCCAUACCUGUGCACUGCAUGGAGCUCCAUUCAAGGAUUUUUUGAGCCAUGUGGAUUUACAAUGAUAUUCAGCUGCCUGGGGAAUAACGCUGGUGGAGGAACCUUCUCUGGAAUUACAUGCACCUGGCGCAUUUCUGGAUGCUGAAGGUGAUGUUAAGGAAGGCCCCGGCUGAGUGCCUCGUGGAUUCCUGCAACCCGGAUGCUGGAGGGGCAUGGAGGACCACAGCUUCCUGGCAGCCUGAGCUCUCACCUCGGACAAGAAUGUUUGGUUGGGUCUUUCUAGACCCCCGUGGGGGCUCCCUAGGAAACAAUCCUGUUACCUGGAGGUAGGUGCCUUUAAUCUGGAAAAAAAACCCACACUUAUCCAUUCAACACUUCAGAGGGAUGUGAGAACUGGCGUUCCCUGAACUAAAAUUAUAAUGCCUUGAGAUCUGGAAAAGUCAGUGUGGCGUGGUGAACUGAUGACCUGGCCCCGCCUCUUCAGCCGCUCCUGCUUCUCUGAUGCUGGACUGGAUUACAGGACUUGCUUGGUCCACGGGGGUAUUAACAGACACAUUGCAAGCAGAACUUUGAAAAAGCAUUUCCAUUUGCACUGUUGGACUUCUGCCAUCACCAAGAGAAGGACGUUCUGAGCUAGCCUUCCAGCUCCCAGAAAAGGAUGAGAGACAUGUAGAACAUAACGAUGGUGCUCUAAUCCUCUGAGCGAGACCAGCCGACCACCAGCCACUCCCAGACCCGUGUGUGAGCCCAGCCAAGACCAUCCGAGCUGCCUGCCUGGCCACCCAGGUGCAUGGACACUUAGUGCUUGUGCCACUGAGGUUUUGUUGUUACACAGCAUUUUUUUAGUGAUAAAUGUGAUGGGAAUAUCAAGAAUAACUAUUUGAUGUCUUGAAUUCUGUAAGGGCAGGGGUUACCUGGCACUCAGUGUAUUGUCUGGUAUAUCAGGUCCCUUUGGUUGAAUGACUGGGCCAAUAAGGACAACUCUGGCAGCCCCUCUGUGAAUGCGUUCAGCAUCUAACCUUGCCUGCUUCCUCUACUCUUGAACGUCUCUCUGUUCAGCUGGGAUCGCUGCUGGUCCCCAUUCACUUGGUUUUCUGUUACAGCAGAGGUGCCAUUUGUUGGACAAGUAAUAGAGUGAGUGAGGCAGUGAAUGGGAGAGAGAGAAAAAGUGUGUGUGUGUGUAUG